CCCUAUGGGGUGCCGCAGGGAGAUCAAAAGGGCCAUAUUUGUUAGGUCGCUCAGUGAUUCCGGGUACUCCUUUGAUUUUCAUUAUUACGGGCUCCCCGUUGUGGACAAAAAUUGAAUAGGCGAACACAAGCCCCAACUCCUCAUCGACAGCGAUAAAACGGCGCCGGUUGAUAUCGGUGAUAUAACUCAUCACCCCGGUGCUCAGCUGGUCGCUGCAGGUCAUCUUUCUGAACACCGAAAAAUCAUCAACGGCAGCCUCUUCAGGUGUCUGGUUGUAAUAAUAUGCGCUUAUAUUGCCGUUUUCCCUCCGCUGGCAUUCGUCGGCAAAAGGAGCAAUAGUCCCGUCGUCCUGUAUUAUGGCUUCAUAGUAUGAAUUGGCGGGGGGGC
rnacentral:rRNA from 1 species